rnacentral:lncRNA from 1 species
UGGAUGAAAAGGUUAUGCGUAGGCCAGGCUACGACUUAAAACUGCUGGGAGACACGAGGGAUUCCAUGAAAAUAAAUCAAUGGAAAGACUCAGUCAGGGAUAAGGGAAAAGUCUGUAGGGGAAACGGGUAGAUUAAAACAAAACUGAAAUACUCGAUCCAAACAGGGGACAACAAUUUCAAUGAGGAAAUACACAAUCAAACUCAACUGGGGAAGAAAAGAA